rnacentral:rRNA from 1 species
GAUGAACGCUGGCGGCGUGCCUAAUACAUGCAAGUCGAGCGAACAGACGAGGAGCUUGCUCCUCUGACGUUAGCGGCGGACGGGUGAGUAACACGUGGAUAACCUACCUAUAAGACUGGGAUAACUUCGGGAAACCGGAGCUAAUACCGGAUAAUAUAUUGAACCGCAUGGUUCAAUAGUGAAAGACGGUUUUGCUGUCACUUAUAGAUGGAUCCGCGCCGCAUUAGCUAGUUGGUAAAGUAACGGCUUACCAAGGCAACGAUGCGUAGCCGACCUGAGAGGGUGAUCAGCCACACUGGAACUGAGACACGGUCCAGACUCCUACGGGAGGCAGCAGUAGGGAAUCUUCCGCAAUGGGCGAAAGCCUGACGGAGCAACGCCGCGUGAGUGAUGAAGGUCUUCGGAUCGUAAAACUCUGUUAUUAGGGAAGAACAAAUGUGUAAGUAACUAUGCACGUCUUGACGGUACCUAAUCAGAAAGCCACGGCUAACUACGUG